AUUGAACGCUAGCGGGAUGCUUUACACAUGCAAGUCGAACGAGUGGCGGACGGGUGAGUGAUAUACAGGAACGUGCCCAGUAGCUGGGGAAAACUACUCGAAAGUGUGGCUAAUACCGCAUAUUAUGGGAGCGGCCGAUAUCGGAUUAGCUAGUUGGUGGUGUAAAGGCUCACCAAGGCAACGAUCCGUAGCUGGUUUGAGAGGAGUACCAGCCGCACUGGCCCUGGUACAUGGGCCAGACCCCUACGGGAGGCAGCAGAGGGGAAUUUUGGACAGUGGGGGAAACCCGAAUGCGGCCAACCCGCGUGCUUGAGAGGGCCUUCGGGUUGUAAAGUACUUUUGGCAGGGAAGCGGUAUCUGCAGAAUAAGCGCCGGCUAACUACGUGCCAGCAGCCGCGGUAAUUC
rnacentral:rRNA from 1 species